rnacentral:lncRNA from 1 species
AAAAUAUUUCUGUUGUCCCAAAGAUGAUUUCUCAACAAUGCAUCAUUUUGCUGGCAGAUUUUACCUCAAAGAAUAUGAAGAGUAAUAGGCCAUAUUAUUUUAAACACAUAGUCUCUUUACUUGGCUUGGAACAGUUAAGCUCACCAUGACUUACACAAAAUUAAUUGAUGCAACCAUUAACAUUGGAAAUAUUACAGAUAUUGAUUUCAUUUGGAACAAACACUUGUGGACAUUCUCACAAUAAGUUGGGAGCAGAAUGGUGGUAGAUAUAGCUGGAAAAUAUGAAUAUAAGUAAGUACUACUUUUUUCUUUUUAUUUCUGAACAUUUAAAAUUUUAUAAAUGUCAUUAAUACCAUUAAAUAAUUUAAAAAUUCCAACCAGUAUAAAAAUUUAUGUGUCUUGGAAAAUU